GCCCGGGUGGCGGAAUUGGUAGACGCGCUAGGUUCAGGGUCUAGUGUCCAUUAGGACGUGCUGGUUCGACUCCAGUCUCGGGCA
rnacentral:tRNA from 1 species